rnacentral:rRNA from 1 species
GAUGAACGCUAGCGGCAGGCCUAACACAUGCAAGUCGAGGGGUAGAGUUAGCUUGCUAACUUGAGACCGGCGCACGGGUGCGUAACGCGUAUGCAAUCUACCUUGUACAGAGGGAUAGCCCAGAGAAAUUUGGAUUAAUACCUCAUAGUAUUAUUGAAUGGCAUCAUUUAAUAAUUAAAGUUCCAACGGUACAAGAUGAGCAUGCGUCCCAUUAGUUAGUUGGUAAGGUAACGGCUUACCAAGACAAUGAUGGGUAGGGGUCCUGAGAGGGAGAUCCCCCACACUGGUACUGAGACACGGACCAGACUCCUACGGGAGGCAGCAGUGAGUAAUAUUGGUCAAUGGGCUCAAGCCUGAACCAGCCAUGCCGCGUGCAGGAUGACGGUCCUAUGGAUUGUAAACUGCUUUUGUACGGGAAGAAACACUCCCUCGUGAGGGAGCUUGACGGUACCGUAAGAAUAAGGAUCGGCUAACUCCGUGCCAGCCGCCGCCGUAACAC